AUGGCGUGUCGUCAGCGUCGUGUCGUGAGGAUGUUGGGUUAAGUCCCGCAACGAGCGCAACCCCUGCUGCCAGUUGCCAACGGGUGAAGCCGGGCACUCUGGCGGGACUGCCAUCGACAAGAUGGAGGAAGGUGGGGAGUGACGUCAAGUCAUCAUGGCCCUUAUGUCCAGGGCGACACACGUGCUACAAUGGCCGGCACAGCGGGAAGCGAGGCAGUGAUGCCGAGCGGAUCCCUUAAAGCCGGUCUCAGUUCGGAUUGAAGUCUGCAACUCGACUUCAUGAAGCUGGAAUCGCUAGUAAUCGCAGAUCAGCCAAGCUGCGGUGAAUACGUUCCCGGGCCUU
rnacentral:rRNA from 1 species